rnacentral:rRNA from 1 species
AAUGGACGCAAGUCUGAACCAGCCAUGCCGCGUGAAGGAUGACUGCCUAUGGGUUGUAAACUUCUUUUAUAUAGGAAGAACCUCUCUACGUGUAGAGAGCUGACGGUACUAUACGAAUAAGGACCGGCUAACUCCGUGCCAGCAGCCGCGGUAAUACGGAGGGUCCAAGCGUUAUCCGGAUUUAUUGGGUUUAAAGGGUCCGUAGGCGGGGUUUUAAGUCAGUGGUGAAAGCCUGCAGCUCAACUGUAGAACUGCUAUUGAAACUGGAACUCUUGAAUGUGAUUGAGGUAGGCGGAAUAUGUCAUGUAGCGGUGAAAUGCUUAGAUAUGACAUAGAACACCGAUAGCGAAGGCAGUUUACCUAAGUCUUAUUGACGCUGAUGGACGAAAGCGUGGGGAGCGAACUGGAUU